GGGAAACAGCGGACUGGACCGGAACCUCUGCAACUAGGUGUCCAAGGGAACUCUUAGCGCUUAAACUCUCCAGUGUUUGCUCACAGAAACAAAAGUUUGACUAAUUCAGUAUUGCCCUCAGGGAUUUUGAAGAUACGGAAUGUGGUAAAUAUACCCCCAAAGUUCAGUAAAUGUCAACUAUCUUUUUCAGUAUCUGGGACAGAGCCCAGGGACUGGCGCAUCCUUGGGCAAUCGCUGAACUGCUUAAUGAUACACAUUGCCACAUCUCUCCUUUGGCGUUUUGCGUCGUCCAUUCUGUCUUUGAAGCUGCCUCAGCCUCCUAAGCUACUCGAACCGUAGUUCCGUGGCAUCAGGCCCAGAUAAUUAAUUAUUGGACAAUUAAUUCCAACAUUGUUGAUCACUGCAGUCACAGACAACCCUUACUUUUCCUUUCCACCUCCCUCAGAAGUGCUGGGGAAUACAGUCAAGAGUCUCAAACUUCAACACGAUGAGGGAUCAAACUCAUGUCAUCAGACUUGGUAGCAAGCUCCUUUAUUUGCUGAGCCAACUUGUCAGCCCCUAGGACAUACUUUAAAAUGUAAGUUAAAAGUCCUGAAGACAUCACAGAUCAGUUUUUCUCUGGUGCUUUGUGAAACGUGCUGAGGGGAACAAUAAAGGGGAAAAAUGCAUGAAUGAAUAAAUAAAAUAAAAUAAGACUUGG